rnacentral:rRNA from 1 species
UACGUAGGGUGCGAGCGUUGUCCGGAAUUAUUGGGCGUAAAGAGCUCGUAGGCGGUUUGUCGCGUCUGCUGUGAAAACUGGAGGCUCAACCUCCAGCCUGCAGUGGGUACGGGCAAACUAGAGUGCGGUAGGGGAGAUUGGAAUUCCUGGUGUAGCGGUGAAUGCGCAGAUAUCAGGAGGAACACCGAUGGCGAAGGCAGAUCUCUGGGCCGUAACUGACGCUGAGGAGCGAAAGCAUGGGGAGCGAACAGG